CGGGCCGCACAGCGGAGAGCAUGUGGUUUAAUUCGAUGAUACGCGAGGAACCUUACCUGGGCUCGAACGUAAGAUGACUGUAGGUGAAAGCUUACAUCUCUUCGGAGCAUUUUACGAGGUGCUGCAUGGUUGUCGUCAGCUCGUGCCGUGAGGUGUCGGGUUAAGUCCCCAUAACGAGCGCAACCCCUACCUUUAGUUGCCAUCAGGUAAUGCUGGGGACUCUAAAGGAACUGCCUACGCAAGUAGUGAGGAAGCGGGGAUGACGUCAAAUCAGCACGGCCCUUACGUCCAGGGCUACACACGUGCUACAAUGGCCGAUACAGAGGGCAGCUACCUGGUGACAGGAUGCAAAUCUCCAAAGUCGGUCUCAGUUCGGAUCGGAGUCUGCAACCCGACUCCGUGAAGUUGGAUUCGCUAGUAAUCGCGCAUCAGCCAUGGCGCGGUGAAUACGUUCCCGGGCCUU
rnacentral:rRNA from 1 species